CGAGGCGGGUGGCGCGCGGCAGCGGGGCUGGGCUCCGGCCCGGAGUCAGCGGAGGGAGCGCGCGCGCGCGCUCCCCGACAGUCCGCCGCAGCCACUCGCCCGGAGCCUUUUACUUGGCCGCGUUGCCCACAGCUACCUCGACCUCGCGUGCCGGGUUUGCGAGCUUUCAGGCUUCUGGAGUCCACUUUGUCUCUAGAGUGGCUAGAAACCCCCGAAUCACAUUUCUAGAGUCAGCCCUAACCAGCCACUGCCAGGAAGGAUACCCAGGUCGUAUUGGAGGACGGAACGACCAGGAACUUGGCAUGGUAUGCCAGCCCGCUGUGAGUGUAUGCUUUCUGAGCAUGGAUAGCCCCAGUGACCCCUCUCACCUGCUGUAUCUCCUUUGGUGGGGUGGGCAGAAGCCCUCGUCUGGCCAUCUGUGGCAGUGUCUCUGCCGAGGCUGAUGCUCCACAGACCCCUGGAAUCUCCACAUUCACUGACGUCUUAGGUGUGUGUGGCCUGUACAGCUUGCCUUCGUCUGGCCCCAGCUGUUCUCUUUCUCCUCUCAUGGGAUACUCCCCACCCUCAAGAGCCAGCCUUGCUAGCUGUGUUUUCCUCAGGUCUUAGCUGAGCAUAAUCAUCCCCCAACACACUGAGUGGGACAGACAAGAGGCCCUCUUGUUACACCAGAGGAAGCUGACCACAUCAAAUCACAGACAAGUAUCAGGCCAUGGCGUUCUCCAGGGACACAGGCACCCAGGCCUUUCCUCAGAGCAGCGCAAGCGACACUGGUCAGACUGUGUUGAAGCAAUAGCAGGAAGCAGCGAGGACCUAGGUGGGGCGCCAGCACUGUGUCUGUCAGUACAACUGUCUGUCUGUCUCAGGACCACUUUCCCAUGGGUGAUACUACCCACAGUGGGAUGGACCCUCCAAUUCUCAGUCAAGAAAGUGCCCGGCAGCACAGUAUCCAACAGACAGCAAAGCCAGGGCUGCCUCCAGACCUGCUGUCCCUUUCACCAUCCUUCCUAGGACCAGAGGGGAUGCCGCCUGCUCAGGAUGGACUCUAUUGAAAUCCACAUGCAGAGGUCCAUGGCACAUGAACGGGAGGCCCACCCUGCAUUAUCUGUAUUUUAAGUCAAUAUGAAGAUGGAUAUUCUACCCCUGAGAUGAAUUUUGUUAAAGUGCUUUUGUCAAUAAAAAGACACUCCUGUUAGAGUGUGCCAACUCCUGCUAUUGGCCUGGGGUCUGCUUCUCCAC
ensembl:lncRNA